rnacentral:rRNA from 1 species
UGAGUAACACGUAUCCAACCUGCCGUCUACUCUUGACAGCCUUCUGAAAGGAAGAUUAAUACAAGAUGGCAUCAUGAGUCCGCAUGUUCACAUGAUUAAGGGUAUUCCGGUAGACGAUGGGGAUGCGUUCCAUUAGAUAGUAGGCGGGGUAACGGCCCACCUAGUCUUCGAUGGAUAGGGGUUCUGAGAGGAAGGUCCCCCACAUUGGAACUGAGACACGGUCCAA